rnacentral:misc_RNA from 1 species
GAUGAAGAACGUAGCGAAAUGCGAUAAGUAAUGCGAAUUGCAGAAUUCAGUGAGUCAUCGAAUCUUUGAACGCACAUUGCGCCCUGUGGUAUUCCGCAGGGCAUGCCUGUUCGAGCGUCAUUUCAACCCUCAAGCUCUGCUUGGUGUUGGGCCCUGCCCGCUGCGGCCGGCCCUAAAGACAGUGGCGGUGCCGCCUGGCCCUGAGCGUAGUACAUCUCUCGCUCCAGUGCCCGGUGGUAGCCUGCCAGAACCCCAACUCUCGUGGUUGACCUCGGAUCAGGUAGGGAUACCCGCUGAUCUUAAGCAUAUCAAUAAGCGGAGGA